rnacentral:rRNA from 1 species
UGGGGGAUAUUGCACAAUGGGCGAAGCCUGAUGCAGCGACGCCGCGUGGGGGAUGAAGGCCUUCGGGUUGUAAACUUCUUUUGCUCUGAACAAGGCAUGCUAAUGGGUGUGUUGAGUGUAGGGGUUGAUUAGCGCCGGCUAACUACGUGCCAGCAGCCGCGGUAAUACGUAGGGCGCGAGCGUUGUCCGGAAUUAUUGGGCGUAAAGGGCUUGUAGGUGGCUGGUUGCGUCUGUCGUGAAAGCUCAUGGCUUAACUGUGGGUUUGCGGUGGGUACGGGCUGGCUUGAGUGCAGUAGGGGAGGCUGGAAUUCCUGGUGUAGCGGUGGAAUGCGCAGAUAUCAGGAGGAAUACCGGUGGCGAAGGCGGGUCUCUGGGCUGUUACUGACACUGAGGAGCGAAAGCAUGGGGAGCGAACAGG